UGACGUCAGCACGCUGACGUCGGCGCGCGGAGUCCGCAUCUCGCUCGAGGGACUGAAGACCUGGCUUAGGCGGGCGUGCGCCCUAGAGAAAGCAGCGUAUUCGUCAGCGCCUCUGUCAGUCAUCUGGUGACCACUUUCUGCCCAUGUGGACCCUGGAGAACAGUGGCAAUGGCUUCAGUAACUGGACUCCUGCCACCCUGGACUGAGUUCCUGACUCCCAGCCUCAUCCUCAGAGCUGUUGCAGCCACUUGAAGAGUGAACCAGUAGGAAGACACAGGAGGAAUUUCUAACGCUAUUGAGUUUGGAGCUGGAGGGGUGUAGAAUGGAGAAGAAACAGAGGCGAUAGGAGACAGCAGGAUGAAUGCUGAUAUCUCUCACAUUGCCAUUCUGCUGACAUAGAGUUCUAGAGGCUGGGAAGUCCGAGCUCCAGGCACCAGCAUAUUUGGUGGCUGGUGAGGUCCCGUUCUUCAGGGAUGGCAGCUUCCUUGUCCUCACAUGGCAGCAGCAGCAGAACUCAUCCCUUCCUCCUCUCCCAUUCAUAGACGUAGAUCCCUCAUGACGUGUUGUGAUGCAAGAUAUUUAAAAUUGCUUGUUGGAAUAAAGAAGUCUUCUGCUCAGUUUUGAUCCAAUUCCAAACCAGAGGAACUCUCGCGCUGGGGUUGAAACAAAGUGCUGAAAUGAUGCAUGUCCUUUGCUGGACUGAAAACCACAAAACCUUCAUUCAGAUGACCUCAAGGCCUGACCAGAAAGUACUCAGUGGCUUCUUCCGGUUACCUUUUCGGGCUGGCUGGUCCUUAAUAUAGCUAAUGCUCCCCAGAUGUGUGAGCUGCUGGUCCUCUUUAACCCUCUCUGGUCUCACAUGCAGCACUGUCAUUGGGGAAGGUAGUAUCUUCUAGUGGAGACAAUAGCAAAUCUUUCAAGUGCCACAAAGGCAUGACAGGGAAUGCAAUCAAACCUACUACAUGCAUGCUUUUCAAAAAAAAUCCAUUAAUUAAAAAAAAACAUUCAAGAACACACAUACAGAGAGAGAGAGAGAGAGAGAGAGAGAGAGAGAGACUAGUAUAAUACCGCUUCCCUGGCCACAUAUGCCAUUAUCUAGCUUCAAGAAGCUUAUUUCAUGCAUAUUCACAUUUCUUAUUCACAUUUCUUCUACCAAGUUAUUUUGUAGGAAAAUGCAGACAACAUUAUGCAGUUAUCUAUGUAUGUAUCCUUCGGGAUUGGUUUCAGAUCCCCAAAAGACACCAAAAUCUUCAAGUGCUUAAGUCCCUUGUAUGAAAUGGCACAGUAAUUGGAUAUAAUCUAAAUGCAUGCUCUUGUAUGCUUUAAAUCAUCUUCUGGUUACUUAUAAUACCUAACACAACAUAAAGGCUAUGUUAAUAGUUGUAUUGCAAUGUACAGGGAAUAAGACAAGAAUAAAAAGUCUGUACAUGUUCAGUACAGAUGCAAUUUUUUUUUCUCCAAAUAUUUUCAGUGCAUGGUUAGUUGAAUUCAUGAACAGAACACAUGGAAACAAAUGAUUGCCUAUAUUAUAUGAACAAACAUUUCUGUACAUAACUCAAAAAGGAAAAUACAUUUUUGCUUUUAUAUGAUCACAAUACUAUGAUUAUUUCUUUAA